UACGUAGGGGGCAAGCGUUGUCCGGAAUCAUUGGGCGUAAAGAGCGUGUAGGCGGCCCGGUAAGUCCGCUGUGAAAGUCCAGGGCUCAACCCUGGGAUGCCGGUGGAUACUGUCGGGCUCGAGUCCGGAAGAGGCGAGUGGAAUUCCUGGUGUAGCGGUGAAAUGCGCAGAUAUCAGGAGGAACACCGGUGGCGAAGGCGGUUCUCUGGGCAUUGACCUGACGCUGAGGAGCGAAAGUGUGGGGAGCGAACAGGA
rnacentral:rRNA from 1 species